rnacentral:rRNA from 1 species
UACAGAGGUCUCAAGCGUUGUUCGGAUUCAUUGGGCGUAAAGGGUGUGUAGGUGGCGCGCUAAGUCGGGGUGUGAAAUUUCGGAGCUUAACUCCGAAACUGCAUUCGAUACUGGCGUGCUUGAGGACUGGAGAGGAGACUGGAAUUCAUGGUGUAGCAGUGAAAUGCGUAGAGAUCAUGAGGAAGACCAGUGGCGAAAGGCGGGGUCGCUGGGACAGUUCCUGACACUGAGACACGAGGCCAGGGGAGCAAACGGG